ACGCACGCUGGCGGCGUGCUUAACCCCUGCCAGUCGAACGGAAAGGCCCUGCUUUUGUGGGGUGCUCGAGUGGCGAACGGGUGAGUAACACGUGAGUAACCUGCCCUUGACUUUGGGAUAACUUCAGGAAACUGGGGCUAAUACCGGAUCGGAGCUCCUGCUGCAUGGUGGGGGUUGGAAAGUUUCGGCGGUUGGGGAUGGACUCGCGGCUUAUCAGCUUGUUGGUGGGGUAGUGGCUUACCAAGGCUUUGACGGGUAGCCGGCCUGAGAGGGUGACCGGCCACAUUGGGACUGAGAUACGGCCCAGACUCCUACGGGAGGCAGCAGUGGGGAAUAUUGCACAAUGGGCGGAAGCCUGAUGCAGCAACGCCGCGUGCGGGAUGACGGCCUUCGGGUUGUAAACCGCUUUCGCCUGUGACGAAGCGUGAGUGACGGUAAUGGGUAAAGAAGCACCGGCUAACUACGUG
rnacentral:rRNA from 1 species